rnacentral:lncRNA from 1 species
UAUAUAUAGAAGCUAUUAAGAACGAAAUUUUCAAGGCUUUGGUGGUUCUGCUUGCUCAACUACUGCAGCAGCUUCUUCAGCAGGUUUCUCUUCCCCUUUUGCAGAAGUCUCAGCUGGUUUUUCUUCCACCUUUUUCUCAUCACUUGUCUCUAUUACUUGUGGUUUUUCCUCUUCCUUUUUUUCUUUCUUUUUCUCUUCUUCAACCACUAUCUCCCUCUCUUUGACAACACUACUUGUUUCUUCUUCUGUUUUAGUUUCUACUCCAGGAGGGGCUUCAACAUCUUUCUCUUCUGUAACAAUGAAAGUUGACACCUUCUCAAACACAAAGAAAACUGAGCCUGAAGCCAAGGCUGGUCCAAACUUUGAAGAUGCUUCAGAUGCUGCCUUUGAUCCCGGAAAAUCUG